rnacentral:rRNA from 1 species
CCGAAACCGAGUGAUCUAGGCAUGACCAGGAUGAAGGUUCGGUAAUACGAACUGGAGGUCCGAACCCACACCUGUUGAAAAGGUCGGGAUGAGUUGUGCCUAGGGGUGAAAGGCCAAUCAAACUCGGAGAUAGCUGGUUCUCCGCGAAAUCUAUUUAGGUAGAGCGUCGGACGAAUACUCCUGGGGGUAGAGCACUGGAUGGGUAAUGGGGACCCACAGUCUUACUGAUCCUAACCAAACUCCGAAUACCAGGAAGUACUAUCCGGCAGACACACGGCGGGUGCUAAGGUCCGUCGUGAAAAGGGAAACAGCCCUGACCUGCAGCUAAGGCCCCCAAUUCGUGGCUAAGUGGGAAAGCAUGUGGGACGACCAAAACAACCAGGAUGUUGGCUUAGAAGCAGCCAUCAUUUAAAGAAAGCGUAACAGCUCACUGGUCUAGAUAAGUUGUCCUGCGGCGAAGAUGUAACGGGG